AUCUAUCUAGUAUAAAUGUAUUAUUGACUUCCAAUCAAAAGGUCUGAAUUUAAAUUCAGGAUAGAUA
rnacentral:tRNA from 1 species